rnacentral:rRNA from 1 species
GAUGAACGCUGGCGGCGUGCCUAAUACAUGCAAGUCGAACGCAUUGUGGUUGAAAUGAUAUGAAGAACUUGUUCAGAUUUGAUUUUCAACAUUGCAAUGAGUGGCGAACGGGUGAGUAACACGUGGGAAACCUACCUCUUAGCAGGGGAUAACAUUUGGAAACAAAUGCUAAUACCGUAUAAUAAUUAAAACCGCAUGGUUUUAGUUUAAAAGAUGGUCUUGCUAUCACUAAGAGAUGGUCCCGCGGUGUAUUAGUUAGUUGGUGAGGUAAUGGCUCACCAAGACAAUGAUACAUAGCCGAGUUGAGAGAUUGACCGGCCACAAUGGGACUGAGACACGGCCCAUACUCCUACGGGAGGCAGCAGUAGGGAAUCUUCCACAAUGGACGAAAGUCUGAUGGAGCAACGCCGCGUGUGUGAUGAAGGGUUUCGGCUCGUAAAACACUGUUGUAAGAGAAGAAUGACAUUGAGAGUAACUGUUCAAUGUGUGACGGUAU